rnacentral:lncRNA from 10 species
UCACAAUCCACAGGAACAUGGAGGAGAGCUAUGCAAAUCAGCCUGAGGUUUUCAGAAUGUGUUCCUAGAUGAGAAAACGUCUCAUGAACUGAGUUCUUUACGACGGGUUUAACAGAUCUUAGGCUUUCAUUCACCAAAAUGCAUAAGAAUCACUUGGACAACUAUUUCUGAGCUGCAAGCUGGCAAUGUCUGAGGCCCCCUCAAAGGAUAAUGUGAGUUCCCCUGAACAAUCUGGGCAACAGAUGUCAACCAGGGAGAAGAUGCUGGCAGUAGGGUUCCCGGGAGUUGAACAUCUGCCUGACCUCCUACUGGGCUCUUCUAAUGCUGCAGCCUAAGGUGGCAGCUGUGGCUGUAGUAGAUGAAAUUCAGAACAUCUGGGGCAUUCUAUGGAGGAGAAAGAAACAAGCUUCUGGAAGCAGCAACAUAGAAGAACAUUAAUUCUCUCCCCACCCAGUCUCACCUACAGAGACAGAGUCUCGCUGUGUUGCCAAGGCUGGUCACAAACUCCUGGGCUGAAGUGAUCCUGCCACCUCGGGCUCCUGUGUAGCUUGGACUAAAGGUGUACACCACCGUGUCCAGCAAACAUUUAUUUAAUAAUUUAAUGGCACAUUAAUGGGACUUAUUAAAAGUGAAUGGUAUACAAAGACAGACAUUGACUAUCAUUAUACUAUCUUCUUUAUUACGUGGGCCUUUUUAAAUAUCUUUCUAAUUGAAAAAUAAAUGCAUAUUGAUUAUUGAAAAUUUACAAAAUAAACUAAAGACAAAAAUAUUAC